GCUCUGUCAGCUGUGGAGUUGGGCUCGGUUCUGGAUGGAACAUCCCACUCCCCUCCCCUGCGCUGGCAUUUGCCGUCGCCAUAAUAGAGAGAAAACUUCAGAUGUAAAAAAAAAAAGAAAAAAAAGUUACACAACUGAUCCUGGAUCAGUCAAAACCCCAGCUUUGACGGUCACGUGAUCGUGCUGUUUGAAAUUGCAAUUUCGGUCAAAAACGAUAGAUCGUUCUGCCCUAGUAAAGAACUUUCUACCACUGUACCUGGAUUUUGUGGCUGAGCUCACUGCAUCCUAGGCCAAGCCGCUAUCCACCUGCACCUCAGUCCCGGGUUACGGUCAGUUUUUGAGCCUCGACGACACCAAAAUGGCAGGAUUGGUUAACCUCCCUCCAAUGGAGCCCUCUCGUGCGGCUUACCUGGCCCCGACCUGCAAUAAUAGAGUAAGCGGACAGACUAUGCCUCUUCUCAUCUGCACCGCGUGCAGGCCUCCACCGCCCACACUUUGUCUGGCAGACCUUGGAGCAAGGGUCCCACCCGACAGCCCAGACCCCCCUCAUCAAUGAGGUACAGGUCACGUUAGACUACAUCCUGCGAGCGGCCUGAGGCGUCGCCCUGCUGUUGGGAAGAGGUGUGGCCUCGACUGUAGUGGCUCAAAGACACUUCGCAACCACUAGUUGAGUAAUCCAGGGCUAUGCACCAAUUUUAGGCCUAAUUGCCCAGCUCUAUUCUGACUGAAUCAUUCAUGCUUUGCUGCAUGUAGAUUCUCAGUCAUUGUGAACAUGUCUCAUCCUUGUGAUUGGUAUCAGUGAUAGGUAUCUGAGAUCUGUAUUGGUGAUUGGCAGCAAAAAACCUGAUCAGAGCAUCCCUAGCUAUUAGAUCAACGUGAAAACUAUUAUUUAUUUUGGGAUGUAGACUGGGGGGAAAUUGGUGAUCCGAGGAACCCUCCUAUUAUUAGAUCAAGAAAAUCGACGUGUUUCGGUCACGUAUGACCUUUGGCAGGGCAUCUAUUAUUAAUUUUUUUUUUAUUGUGCUGUGUGCUUUUACAUCAGAUUUUAUAUCAUUUUGUGACACAUGUUACUGUCUAUUUGUAGAUUUUUUAUUAUGUGCUUUUUGUCAUUUCAGAUUGAAAACAAUGAAUUCACCCUGCAUACUGAAAGUUAUCCUGGUGGAUAACACUAGCCAGAGGCUAAUACUUUCAAAUGGACUUCCUCAGUCUGUUCCAGAGCUGAUGGAGGAAGUGCAACGUCAGUGUGGACUGACAUACAACCUCAAAUUACAAUUAUGGAUUCACUCUUUGACAAUGACUUUAUUAAUCUGACAUCAACAUCUGAACAACAAAACAGAGGCACAAUUAAGGUAGUUGAUCUCUCCGAAGUUGGGUUUUCCCAGUCUUCUUCCUUAACCGCUGGAUGUGAUCACAAGCUGUAGAGAAAAGAUCAGCUUCAAGUUUUUCUGGUGUGAGCUGUCCUGACAUAGAGCACCUUCCUCCUGCCGAGUCUGAGCAGUCACUUUCAAGGUUGCAAUGGCCAGCCAAGUUUUGUGUGCCAAAGUUUGCAUUUGAUUCUGAGUUCAAACUUGAAAAAGCUAAUGCUGAAUACAGGGAGAUAAAAACACUUCUUAUCCCAGACUGUAAAUUACUGUCAAACAUUCUGGAUUGUCUUAUUCAAGAAAUUGUUUGUUAUGGACUAUACAUAACUGAUAACCAGUUCAGCUGCGUGGGAGAGGCCCUCAUCAAGAAGCAUCCUUGUCUGCUAGAGCGAGGUUCAAUAACUGGAUACGCUGCACUGUAAUUCCCAAUAGUGCUUCUUACUAAAAUGAUGUCAGUUAUUUUCACUCACUUUAGCUAAAUAGUUAUACUUACUUUUAUACAAUUAGUUAAAACCCCAAACUAACAGUGUGAUGUUAAAACUCAUUCAUAAUUAGUAUAAUUGUGUUUAUCUUUUCUUUGGAGUAAUGUGCUUUUAAACUGUUUAAGUUGAGGUCGCUCAUUUCAAACAAAAAAAUAACCCCUCCCUUUUGCUUUUCCUACGUCAUCACUGAGCCUUGCACACGGAGAUGCUAACACAGCUCUGGGUGCUAUGCCACCGACAACAGCAGCGCCAGCGGCCAUUAGAGGCAUUUUUCGGCACGGAGGAGAAUUUUAACCACAUUGCCAGAAUUACAAGGCUUCCCACCUGACCUCCUGCACGACCUGUUUGAAGGCGUUGUUCCAGUGGAGAUAGCUCAUUGCUUAAAAGGUUUGAUUUCCAGUAAAUAUUUUACAUUAGAAGACUUAAAUCGAGCAAUAUUGCACUUUCCAUAUCAACAUUCUGACAAAGUUGAUCGCCCUCAUCCAAUACCCACUAAUUUUGCCAGUCGAGGGACCAUUGGUGGGAAUGCUCAUGAAAAUCAUGCCCUGCUUAUAAUGUUGCCUCUUCUCAUUGGCUCAAAAGUCCCAGAAAGAGACACGUUUUGGGAAGUGCUAAUGGAGUUAAAGGAUGUCGUUCAGCUUGCCAUGUCUCAGAUUUUUAAUGAAGAGACCAUUCAGUACUUGGCUUGUAAAAUAUUGGACCACCGGCAACUCUUCCAAGAAGUGUUUCCUAAUGUUCGAUUAAGGCCAAAGCAUCAUUACAUCGAGCAUUACCCACACUUGAUAAAAUGCUUUGGUCCCUUGGUCCACCUUUGGACAAUGAGAUUUGAGGGAAAGCAUAAGGUUUUCAAAAAAAUUAUUCAUGACACUCACAACUACAAAAAUGUGUUAAAAACUUUGGCAGAGCGACAUCAAAGUCAGAUGGCAUUUUAUUUGUCAUCCUCAAAGUUUUUCAAACCACAUGUUCAGACAUCCAAAAUGGAGUCUAUGUACAUCUCAUCACUACCUGCAGAUACACAAUCAUUUAUCUCAGGUAUUGUUGACAGUGACACAGUUUAUGGAACAAAAAAUAUCUCAAUUGAUGGCACAAGCUUUGCAAUUGGCAUGUUUGUAUGUACUGGUGCUUAUGCAGCCUUGCCAGAGUUCAAAGAGAUUCGAAACAUCCUACUCAUCAGCGACAAAAUGCAUUUUCUCUUAAAAGACUACGACACUUUGUAUGUUGAGCACUUGAGGUCAUACGAACUAGUCGAGCAUAUACCGGAGAGUCAUAGUGUCAAAUCUGUGUGCCAGCUGUCUGACCACCUGCCACAUUUUGCUUAUAAGAUUGCAAAUGAACUAAUUCUAACAACAAAACAUUUCAUUCCAGUGUCUGACUAAAGAAACAGAACUGAAAUAUCAGCGGAUCUCCCCAGCCCUUCUGCCAGUGUACAGGUAAUGCAUACAUGGCAUGAGAACUCUGAGUGUGUUGAAAUGUCGCUAUAUUAUUUGAAUCCUGUAUGUUACAGGACCUACAACUUCAGAUGGAGGCAACAGAGAGACUGAAGCUAAGGGUCAUCCUUGAUAAUGAUAAUGCUGAAAGACUUAUUCUGCCAUCUCGCCCAAGCAGUGUACAGGCCCUCAUAGAUGAAAUCAAAACUAGGCUAAAGUUGACUUUUGACUUUAGGCUUCAGUUUGAAGAUCCAGAUUUUGAUCAUGCAUUGUGUAAUUUGGUUGAAAUGGAACACCUCCCAAGCACAGCAUCGGUUAAAAUAAUCAGAUUAGUGGAGCUGGACUUGAUUUCAACCAGCACUAGUGAGACAAGUCUUCUGAACGAUAGCACUGAUGCCAUAGAUUCACCAGAGCGUAUUAGUCGGUGGCCAGAGGUUUUUAUUGUUCCAAAAUUUUCUUAUGAGGUGGAACAUGUGCUAAAGGAAGGUAAUGCAGCAUUUGAAAAAGAUGGGAAACUAAUUAGACUUCCUAGAGAUCAAAAACACAACAUACUCGAGGUAAUGGGGGAAGAAAAUUUUAGCUGUCAUGAGAUCAAACCACUUUAGGACAUCGAAGGAGUCGCAUCUUUGAACAUAGCAAAUCGGAUUGUCAGAAAUCAACUAUGCCUGCCUCUUACGUGGAAUUAUUUAAACGCAACAAGGAACUGGAGAGGGAAAUAAAUGAAUUAUCUCGAAAAGUCACGGAUUAUGAACAAGUAAUUCUGUUACUGAAAGAGAAACAAGCUACCGAAAAAUUACAAUCGAAUGAGAAGUAUGAAAAAGAUAUGAAACAAAAAGCUUUAGAUAAUGACUUUAAAAUUCAAAAAGCAAAUGAAGAGAUAGCUGGUUUGAGAAACAAGAUCUCGCAACAGGAGGAAUCUAUUAAAGAACUCAAACAGGAGAAUAAAUCUCUUAAAAUAUGUGAUAAAAAGCUGAACAAAAUGACUCUUGAUCAAAGGACCCUAAAAGAUAGAAUUCAGACCAUCAAGGAAAAUAACAAAACGCUCACAUCAAAAAAAUCGACUUUAAAUAAAACAGUUCGUGCACUUAAAAAAAAGAGAACCAGUCUCAAAGGGGCAAAUGUGUGUUAAAGAAAAGAUGAUACAGAAACUCAAGGUUGAUUUGGAAAACUGUAAGUUAUCGAACCAAUCAUUUGAGAAUGAUUUAUUGGAUGCAAAAAAAGAAAUCCAUAGUCUUCAAAAGCUAAAUGCAGAUUUACAACAACAGGACACCGUAGCCAACAGGGAGAAAGUCGUGGCCAUACAAAACCUGACCAAGAAAUGUGAGGCUAUGAAUGAUGAGCUGUGGCAAACCAGUCGAGACUUAAAAAUAGCCCAGGACGAGCGUGAAAAGUCACGUAUAGAUUUUAAACAACUACAACGGCAGAUAGAAGAAAUGAAUGAAGUUAAAAUAGGUAUGUUUAAAGAUCUUCAUCACAAACAAAAGACAAUAGAUGGCUUGCAAAAGGAAUUGGAUGAAACCAAGACAGAAUUGAAAGUAGAAAAGGAGACUUACAAUUUGUUGCGUGAGAAGUAUCUUACGGAAAUACGAAACGUACCUCAGAAAGUAUAUGACAAUAAGGCGCAAUGUCCAUCAUCAGAUCUUAAUAUGUGGCAAAGGAAGGUACAAACUGAAUUAAAUACUCCCGGUACGCCCACAUUUUCUAAGCAGUUUGACGUCAGACCCACAGACGUUGCACCUUUCCGAUACAAAGGUGGAUUUGUUAAACUCCCCCCCAUAAAAAAACCCAUUAGACACAAUGUGUACAUAAAGAAACCCUUUAGGGGACCAGAUCCUAACCCAGAUCACUGUAACAUUUACAAUAGGAGCGGCUCAAACUUCCUUUACAUUCGGUAGUAUUAGACAUAGUCAACUUAGAUCUUAUAUUCUAAUUUAUCUUCUGAGGAAGCAUGGCUUUGUUAGUUAACACAAAGUUAGAGGUCUUGUCAUAAGACAGAUGAGAGCUAAACAGAUAUAAUUCAUCGUGGCUACGUACGCAGCUACGGCCAAGCUUGACCCUAAACAGAGCCAGAGCUUUUAUCCUAGUUUACACGACCUUUAGAAAGUGAAAUUAUUGAAUAAGUGCAGCUGUUUAAGGCUUCAAGUGAAUCUUAAAACAUUUACUAGUGAAACGUUGUUGCAGAACGUUAAGCAACGAUACGUGGUUUCAGAUGGGUGAGAAUCGGGAGGCUUACAGUGAAAUGCUUGUAGAUGCUGACCUGCAAUUGAAACGUUUAGUUAACCAUUUAUAAAUCAGAGAUCACCGAUGAGUCGUAUCUUGUAUAACUGAUGCAACUGUGAAAAGAUCAUGAAAAUAGUCUCCUACAACGAUAAUCCUACACGGCAUCCAUACACGCAACAACCCGACAUUUUUAUGUGCUCAGAACUUCAAAACAAAGGGUUUAAAACGCUGUUUUAGUAUCGAGUGUGAAUGAGGAAGCCUUCACUCUCGUUGCCAGGCUGCGCGCGCAACUUUUGAUGACGUAGGUAGUAAAAGGGUCUAUUAAGCCAGUCAGUAAAAAGUUUCAUUUUUCCUGAGCGAUUACGUCACAAAGAGUAAUGACGUCACAAAGAAUAUGCGUAAUUGAGGGACGUGCUGCACAGAGCAGCUCUGGUGCUGCAGAUGCUGGCAGAAUCAUAGAUAUGUUAGAUAUAGAUAUUGAAAUGUUUCUCUCUGUUUUUUCUUCUUUGGGUUUUAUUAUUGUUUUAUUGUAUUUUAUUACGUGUUUUGUGUAAAGUGACCUUGGGUGUCCUGAAAGGCGCUUUGAAAUAAAAUGUAUUAUUAUUAUUAUUAAUAUGUAUUGACCCUUUGCACGUGACGUCACGCCACUCAUGUGACUGCCUUCGCCGUGAUGGCCGGCAAAAAGACCGUUUUCACCCAUAGAAACUCCAGUGAAGGUAGUCAAAACAAGCCAGUUCGUAUAUAGCCUUUUAUCGCUUUUAUUUAGUUGAUUUGACAGUAAAAUGGUUUUAGCUUGCUGCGUGGUUGGCUGCACUAAGAGACAAGGACGUAAACUCAACUCGUUUUUUUCGUUUUAAUAACUUUGAUGGAGACUGAGGACGGAGAUGAACUGCAGCGAUCAAUCAAGCGGAUUAGAUGUUUAUUUUGAGUCACGUGCGACCGCAGACCAUGAUGGCCGCCUAAGGCAAGGCCUCCUGACGGGUCAGCCACUUUCCCCUGGAUUUUCUUGAAUGGGACCUUACUUUCUAAGAGGUUAAAGUAAUCUAACAUUGACGAUAGGAUCCUGGAGCGUGUAGGAGAAAAGUGCGACAAAAUGUCUUCUGUGAAUCCGAAAACGAGGUCGGCUAAACAGGCGGCUAGUAUGGUAGCCGCUAGUAGCAACAAGCUAGCCGGUGUUCCGGAACGGCAAGGACACUACGCAGAGUCACGAGGCGGGCUCCCCCUUGAUGCUGAGUGAGAAGGCAUUCGAUCGGGUAGAAUGGGAGUGUUUAUGGAAUAUUUAGGAAAAUUUUGGAUUUGGGAGCGGUUUCCUUACAUGGGUUAAGGCAAUUUAUGUAAAGCCUAGGGCAGCUGUAGUUACAAAUGGUUUUAUUUCCCCCUUUUUUAGACAGUAUAGGGGUGCAUGGUGGCGCAGUGGUUAGCACUGUUGCCUCGCAACACGAAGGUCGUAGUUUCGAAACUCGGCUGCGGCAUUUCUGCGUGGAGUUGCGCGUUCUCCCCAUGCGUGCGUGGGUUUUCUCCGGGUACUCCGGUUUCCCCCACAGAUCACAUGCCCUAAAGGUUAAAAAAACUGUAAGUCGCUUUGGGUAAAAGCGUCUGCUAAGCACAUAAACAUAAACAUACAAAACAAGGAGACCCUUUGCCCCCGUUAUUGUUUAUAUUGUUUAUGGAGCCAUUAGCAAUUGCAAUAAGAAAGGAGGGAGCGAUUAAAGAGGUGGAAGCAGGUGGGAGAGAACAAACUCUUUCUUUAUGCAGAUGAUAUUCUUUGAUUUCAGAACCGACAUCUUCUACACAGGCUCUUCUUGACAAAGUUGAUUUAUUCUCUCAAAUUUUGGGUUAUAAAGUUAAUUGGCAUAAGUCAGAGGCUAUGGCCAUUUCUAGAGCUUGUUAUUCUACCAUGGUGACUGCAGGGAAUUUUAAAUGGCUGUCAACUGGGAUGACGUAUUUAGGGGUUAAAUUGUGCGCUAAUAUAACAGAUAUAAUGCACAUUAAUAUGGCUCCUCUCCUUAAGAUAAAGUACAGCCUGGAGAAAUGGAAAGCACUCAAUUUAACAUUAUGGGGAAAAAUUAAUACCAUUAAAAUGGUGAUUGUGCCACAAUUUAAUUUGUCAAUGAUGAUUCCAAUUUCAAUAAGUGAAGAAGGAUAAAUCAACAAAAACUAUGUAACAAGAAGGGAUGGGGUCUUGCUUUGCCAAAUGUGGAGCUGUAUAAUAUUGCCUUUGAAGUGGCUAAAUUAACAAAACAUGGUGGUAAAGAGGACACUUAUUUAGGAUGGGUAGCUAUAGAAAAAGAAUUUACUGCCCCCUUUUGGAAGCUUUGUCACAAAUAAAAAGCGCACAAAAGAAGGAAGCUGAGUAUAAAGAGAAUAAUCCAAAUAUCUGGAUCAAACUCCACAAAUGGUUAAAGAUAUCCCAGUAUAAACAAUUAUAUUCAAUUUGGUAUAACUGUCACAUUGAAUGAGGUGGAGACGGCGGACCAUGUGUGGAUGAGCUGAGCAGGAGGUAAAAAUGCAGGCUUCGGAUUAAGUAAAAAUGGUUUAAUGGCAGGAUGGGAUGAACAGGAACAACACCAACAAACAACAACAAUGAUCUGACCAAGGACGGGGGCAAAACAGGUGGUAUAAAUACAGAGGGCUAAUUAGGGAAACAUGGGCAGGUUAACGAGGGACAGGUGAGAACAAUAAGGGUAAUCAAGGCAGGAGAGGAACACAGGAGGGCAGGGGCAGAACGUGACAAUAACCCAGCAAUAAGGGUGGAAUACGUUGGAAUACGUGGGGGCAUGAGAAAAUUAGAGGAUCUAAUUGACAAUAGAACAGUGAAAUCUUAUCAGGACUUGAGGCUACAAUUUAACGUGGAUAAUAUAGGUAAUUUAUGGAGAUAUUUUCAAAUAAGAAGUAGCUUGGACAGUUUGGUUAAGGAGCUGCCUGAAGAGGACAAUGUUGUACAGCUCUUAUUUAAAAUUGGCAGAAAAGUAUCAGUCAGCAUCUAUGUUUUAUAAGAUGGCAGCUAAAGUAUUAUAUGGAAAUUAUGAUGGCUUAAGGCAUGCUUGGCAGAGGGAUUUAAGCAUAAGGUUGGAUAGAGAUUCAUGGCAAAGGAUAAUGUCCAAUAUGGGAUGGUUUACCAGGGAAGCACGGGGAAAGCUGACACAUUAUAAGAUAAUCCAUAGAUAUUAUUUUACACCGGUUCGUCUUUAUAAAAUUGGUUUAAUGAAGAACAAUUUAUGCUGGAAAUGUAAAAGGCAGGAAGGUACCUUUAUUCAUUUUAUGUGGUCAUGCUAUGUUGUUCAACCUUUUUGGAAAAAAAUAUUGAUUACAAUGCAAGAGUGGUUGGGUAUACCGCUCCUGGAAACUGCUCGACUUAGUUUAAUAGGAGACUUAUCGUGUGUACUGAAUAUAUCUACAACGGCAGGGGCCCUGGCUCUUACAGGUUUUAUUUCGGCAGCUAGAGUUAUACUGCGUAAAUGGAAAAGUUUUGAGGCACCUGUUUACAGAGACUGGAUAAUAACGAUGACGGAGAUUGCAUCUUAUGAACUAUUAAUUGCUAAAAUAAAGGGAAAAAAAGACUCAAAUUUUGAAACCUGCAAUGAAUUUUUGUUUUUUAUUGGUAAAAAGUUGUUGGAUAGCAUGUUUUGAAAUGAUUAUGAAUGGUGGUUGUGAGUGGUUUUGAGUUAGCCUGUGCUGUAAGGGGGGUGGGUUAUUUUGUGGGGGUGGGGUAUUUUGUUUUUGAUUUUAUGUAAAAAUUUGGAAAACUUAAUAAAAAAACUUGAAUAACAAAAAAAAAAAAAAUCAAGCGGACUGCUAUAGCAGAUUUGCAGCGAACGUGUUUUUACCGGGUAAGAUUAAUGUUAAUUUAUUUCACGAGGAAGACGGGGACAGGGAUAAAUGUGAUGUGUUUAUACAAGUUAUUGAUAAUCCUGAUAGAUGGGUAUUUCACCACGGAGGCUGCGCUCCGUCCACUGUAGUGUAAAGCGAGAUAAUUAUUAACUAUAUUAAAGCUCCGAUAUAUGAUUACGUGUGUAAAAAUUACAUUAUUUAUUUAUAUGAGCGUCGGCGUUCAGAGAUCUCAUUCCGGUGUGAGAGCAGCAGCUGAAACAGGUGUUGUGCCAUAAAUCAACUGGCUGCCAAAAAAUGAUUAGCCACCGUGGGAUCGCGCACAGUUAGGGUAAUUGCAUUUCUAGACAAAAUUCCCCAGGAUUUCGCCUUAAAACUCAGCAUAUCUAGCAAUAUGGACAUUCAGAAAGCAGAGGUAACCUCUUCUGAUACUUAAACAGAUGUUUAUCGCGGAUAUUAGUUUUUCCAGUU